rnacentral:rRNA from 1 species
UACGUAGGGUGCAAGCGUUGUCCGGAUUUAUUGGGCGUAAAGAGCUCGUAGGCGGUCUGUCGCGUCGGAUGUGAAAACCCAGGGCUCAACCCUGGGCCUGCAUUCGAUACGGGCAGACUAGAGUGUGGCAGGGGAGACUGGAAUUCCUGGUGUAGCGGUGAAAUGCGCAGAUAUCAGGAAGAACACCGGUGGCGAAGGCGGGUCUCUGGGCCAAUACUGACGCUGAGGAGCGAAAGCGUGGGGAGCGAACAGG